rnacentral:rRNA from 1 species
UACGGGGGGAGCAAGCGUUGUUCGGAUUUACUGGGCGUAAAGGGCGCGUAGGCGGUCAGCACAAGUCAGUUGUGAAAUCUCCGGGCUUAACUCGGAAAGGUCAACUGAUACUGUGCGACUAGAGUGCAGAAGGGGCAACUGGAAUUCUCGGUGUAGCGGUGAAAUGCGUAGAUAUUGGGAGGAACACCGGUGGCGAAGGCGGCCCCCUGGACCGGUACUGACGCUGAGACGCGAAAGCGUGGGUAGCAAACGGG